rnacentral:rRNA from 1 species
UACGUAGGGUCCGAGCGUUGUCCGGAAUUAUUGGGCGUAAAGGGCUCGUAGGCGGUCUGUUGCGUCAGGAGUGAAAACUCGGGGCUUAACCCCGAGCCUGCUUCUGAUACGGGCAGACUAGAGGUAUGCAGGGGAGAACGGAAUUCCUGGUGUAGCGGUGAAAUGCGCAGAUAUCAGGAAGAACACCGAUGGCGAAAGCAGCUCUCUGGGACGGUACUGACGCUGAGGCGCGAAAGCGUGGGGAGCGAACAGG